GCCUGCGGCCACACCACUUUGAAUAAGCCUGAUCUCAGAAGUGAAACAAUGUUGGGCUUGGUUAGUACUUGGAUGGGAAACCGCCUGGGAAUAUCAAGUGCUGUAGGCA
rnacentral:rRNA from 12 species